rnacentral:rRNA from 1 species
GGCUAAUACCGCAUACGUCCUACGGGAGAAAGGGGGCUCCGGCUCCCGCUAUCGGAUGAGCCUAUGUCGGAUUAGCUGGUUGGUGAGGUAAAGGCUCACCAAGGCGACGAUCCGUAGCUGGUCUGAGAGGAUGAUCAGCCACAUCGGGACUGAGACACGGCCCGAACUCCUACGGGAGGCAGCAGUGGGGAAUAUUGGACAAUGGGGGGAACCCUGAUCCAGCCAUGCCGCGUGUGUGAAGAAGGCCCUCGGGUUGUAAAGCACUUUCAGUGAAGAAGAACGCCUGGUGGUUAAUACCCAUCAGGAAAGACAUCACUCACAGAAGAAGCACCGGCUAACUCCGUGCCAGCAGCCGCGGUAAUACGGAGGGUGCAAGCGUUAAUCGGAAUUACUGGGCGUAAAGCGCGCGUAGGUGGCUUGAUAAGCCGGUUGUGAAAGCCCCGGGCUCAACCUGGGAACGGCAUCCGGAACUGUCAAGCUAGAGUGCAGGAGAGGAAGGUAGAAUUCCCGGUGUAGCGGUGAAAUGCGUAGAGAUCGGGAGGAAUACCAGUGGCGAAGGCGGCCUUCUGGACUGACACUGACACUGAGGUGCGAAAGCGUGGGUAGCAAACAGGAUUAGAUACCCUGGUAGUCCACGCCGUAAACGAUGUCGACCAGCCGUUGGGUGCCUAGCGCACUUUGUGGCGAANACCACUUCUGAUAAGUCGACCGCCUGGGGAGUACGGCCGCAAGGUUAAAACUCAAAUGAAUUGACGGGGGCCCGCACAAGCGGUGGAGCAUGUGGUUUAAUUCGAUGCAACGCGAAGAACCUUACCUACUCUUGACAUCCUGCGAAUUUGGUAGAGAUACCUUAGUGCCUUCGGGAACGCAGAGACAGGUGCUGCAUGGCUGUCGUCAGCUCGUGUUGUGAAAUGUUGGGUUAAGUCCCGUAACGAGCGCAACCCUUGUCCUUAUUUGCCAGCGCGUAAUGGCGGGAACUCUAAGGAGACUGCCGGUGACAAACCGGAGGAAGGUGGGGACGACGUCAAGUCAUCAUGGCCCUUACGAGUAGGGCUACACACGUGCUACAAUGGUCGGUACAAAGGGUUGCCAACUCGCGAGAGUGAGCCAAUCCCGAAAAGCCGAUCUCAGUCCGGAUCGGAGUCUGCAACUCGACUCCGUGAAGUCGGAAUCGCUAGUA